CCUUUUGAGAGAGGUCGAAAAGGAAUUUUAACUAUCGGAACAUGCCCUCAACUUUUGGUUGCUCGUUUCUCUUCUACGAUUCUUGCACACCUCUGGCGACUGUUGAGUGGGGCUGACAUUAUAAAUGCUCUGUAGAUAGCAUACAAAAGCCCUUAAAUUCACCAUUUUUGUCUUUGCUUUAUCAAAAACUGGCGAAAUUAUGCAGCCACGUUAUGGCGCAAAUCUCCACCGGAACCAACCCUCCAAAUUGACCCUACUUUGUUCAAAAAGAUCUUUCAUAGAUACAGAGCACUACUCUCAUUCCAUUAGCAGACAUAAAAGUUGGAGGAAGAAGAAGAAGAAGAGGGAGGAGAGAUGCACGCUUUGUGGAUGUCCUUGAAGGAGAAUGCCAGCUGUGGGAGCAAGCUAACCAAUGCGGUUGCCCAGCCAGAAAAAAGCCAUGGGAAGAGGAGCAGCAGUCCUGAAAAGGAACACUUGGACAGAAAGCUCAUUCAUCAUACCAGAAAAUCAUUUGGGGAUGUGAUUAUCAAGGGAUACCACAUACGAACAAGGUACUUUGGUAAGUGUCCAGUCCUUCUAUGUUGCAAAUUGCAUGUAUGUUUGUUGGUUACUAUGCUAUUUGGAAAGUUCUUGCAGAAGGAAAAAGAAAAUGAGAUGCAUGCAGAGUCCCCUUAUAAGCAUGUAAGUUGUAAAAGUUGUCUUGACAUUCAUAGCUAACUUCUUCAUGCUGCAUGAAGCAUGAGGCUUAGCAUCUAAUAUUAAGCAGGUAUUUAGGAGGUUCUGCAUAAAAUUAUUGAGCCUCAUAAAAGUGGGGAAUCGAGCAUCCUCAUAGAAAUGGCAAUGCUUCUAGUCUGUUACCAGGCUUUGAAUUCAUCUCUUGCGUUGUGAGGUAAACACUUGACCAUCAGGCCACUCAUAAUCAACAGAGAUUAGGAAAUUUAAUCGAAGGGUGUCUAUAAUACAGUGUUUAAGCAUGAGAAUUAAGUGAAAUAGGAAAUUUGGCUAGAGUAAUGUCCUUCCUGGUAUCACAUCACAACCCAAUUACCAAAAACUGGAAUCCCAUUGAAAGGUCAGCUUGCAAACAAAACGAGAGGGGCAUACCAUAUGAUUAAAGGAGUCCCCACUAAUUGAAGGGACAUAGGGACUUAUUUGUACGCUUGCAGCUUAAGGUUAAGAAUGGUCCCUUUUAUGCGUGAUGGUUUGUGAACUUCAUUGCAAUAUUGACAAAGAAGGAAAAAAUAUAUGAAAUGCAAAUAUAGGACAAGAAUUUAUACAAGGUAAGUAUUUUGAUGCAUGCGCAAGCUGGUACAUAUUUGAUUCUUCCUGGAGCUUCUAUACAGAAAGUCUCAUACAUGAAAAUGGAAUUCUUGUUUCUGACUAUGCAUCAAUUCUUUGCAUUUUGAACAGAGCUCAAAAUGGGAGACCCAGCAAGAAAUAUCACUGAGAUGAUCUUCCAUAGAGCAUCAGCAAGCCCAUCAAAGCCGUCAAGGAAGAUCCGAAGGGUCUUUAGGGUGAAGAACUCAAUUGAAAUUCUUGAAAGGUUUGAGAAAUAUAGAGAGAAGGUAAAGGAGACUGCCUAUAAGCAACAAAAGACACAUCCAAGAAGCACUGUAGAUGGAAACGAGCUUUUGCGAUUCUAUGGCACGACAAUGUCCUGUUGCAGUGAAAAAUCAAUCCAAGUUUCAGAGCUGUGUAAAGAUCCCACUUGCAGAGUCUGCAGAAUGAUUCAAUGUAAUUUUGACACAGAGUACACCAGGAAGAACGGGAUUCGAUUAAGUACAAAUAGUGAGGAGCUGAGUGAAAACAUGAUUAACUUGUCAAAGUUGAAAAUGGAAAGGGCAGCAAUAGUAUGCAGGAUAAUUGCUGGAACAGUUGUUAAUAAGGUUAAUAAUCGGGUAAAAGAAGAGUGUGAAUCGAUAGAGAGUGAAACACAGUAUGCCAAGUCAGAAUCUUUGAUUGUAAGAAAUCCCAGUGCUGUACUUCCCUGCUUUGUCAUAGUUUUCACCUGAGAUUUUCUGAUAUCUGUAAACUUGUUCUUUUUGCAGUUAAAUCAAAAUUGGGGCCGGGAAACCAUUUUUGCGUAUGCAAACAUUGUGAAAUUCCUACACUAGCUAAGCUGAAA
rnacentral:misc_RNA from 1 species